rnacentral:rRNA from 1 species
GAUCAUGGCUCAGGAUGAACGCUGGCGGGCGUGCUUAACACAUGCAAGUCGAACGAAGCACCUUGAUUUGAUUCUUCGGAUGAAGAUCCUGGUGACUGAGUGGCGGACGGGGUGAGUAACGCGUGGGUAACCUGCCUCAUACAGGGGGAUAACAGUUAGAAAUGACUGCUAAUACCGCAUAAGACCACAGCACCGCAUGGUGCAGGGGUAAAAACUCCGGU